UACGAAGGUCCCGAGCGUUGUUCGGAAUCACUGGGCGUAAAGGGAGCGUAGGCGGCGUGGCAAGUCAGAUGUGAAAUCCCGGGGCUCAACCCCGGAACUGCAUCCGAUACUGCCAUGCUCGAGCAUUGGAGAGGUAGCUGGAAUUCUUGGUGUAGCAGUGAAAUGCGUGGAUAUCAAGAGGAACACUCGUGGCGAAAGCGAGCUACUGGACAAUUGCUGACGCUGAGGCUCGAAGGCCAGGGGAGCGAAAGGG
rnacentral:rRNA from 1 species